AAUGAACGCUGGCGGCAGGCCUAACACAUGCAAGUCGAACGAGUAGCGGACGGGUGAGCAAUGUCUUGGAAACUGCCUGAUGGAGGGGGAUAACUACUGGAAACGUUAGCAACUACCGCAUACCAUACGAUGUGGCCACAGGGGAUUAGCGAGUAGGUGGGGUAAUGGCUCACCUAGGCGACGAGCCCUAGCUGGCCUGAGAGGAUGACCAGCCACACUGUAACUGAUACACGGUACAGACUCCUACGGGAGGCAGCAGUGGGGAAUAUUGCACAAUGGUCGCAAGCCUGAUGCAGCAAUGCCGCGUGGUUGAAGAAGGCUUUCGGGUUGUAAAGCACUUUCAGCGGUGAGGCGUUAUACGAAGAGGAAGCACCGGCUAACUCCGUGCCAGCAGCGGCGGUAAUUC
rnacentral:rRNA from 1 species